AUGAGACAGCAAUGUUAUAAGAGCCUGGGAGGUGGCUGAAAUCUGACAAGGGACUGCAAACAGCAUGAAGACACAACACACAAUAAAAGGGGCAAUCAAGCCAUUAAUUAGCACUUUCCUUGCAGAAUAAAGGAGACUACAGAAGCAAAGGCUGAGAAUGGACCGUGACGUCUGGGUGAUUUUCUGAACAGGCUUGUACUCUGGACAGGAUAUCAUCAUAUACUGUAAGUUCGUUAUAGAGACACUACAGUAUAGAUGAUGUACUAUCCAGGGUUUCAUCCUCCUUCUGGACAAAUGCACUGGAUGAGAGGGAAAGGAACAGGCCCUGCGCUCUCCCGGGGGAGGUGACGAAACCGUUACCAUUACUGAGCUUUAGUAAUGGUAAGGGUUAUGUCGCCUCUUCUCAAACGCUUCAGAAGAGGGCACGCCCAUGCCAGCAGCUCAGUGAGAACAGAUGGGCAAAGUGUGAGCCAUGACAGUGCAAUUUAAAUGACUGUACAACAGAACUAUUUAAUAAACAUCUGAUAACAA